UACAGAGGGUGCGAGCGUUGUCCGGAAUCACUGGGCGUAAAGGGCGCGUAGGUGGCUUGGUAAGCGUGUGGUGAAAGUCCGGGGCUCAACCCCGGAUCUGCCGUGCGAACUGCCGAGCUCGAGCAUUGUAGAGGCAGGUGGAAUUCCGGGUGUAGCGGUGGAAUGCGUAGAGAUCCGGAAGAACACCAGUGGCGAAGGCGGCCUGCUGGGCAAUUGCUGACACUGAGGAGCGACAGCGUGGGGAGCAAACAGG
rnacentral:rRNA from 1 species